AACGAACGCUGGCGGCAUGCCUAACACAUGCAAGUCGAACGAGACCUUCGGGUCUAGUGGCGCACGGGUGCGUAACGCGUGGGAACCUGCCCUUAGGUUCGGAAUAACUCCCCGAAAGGGGUGCUAAUACCGGAUAAUGUCUUCGGACCAAAGAUUUAUCGCCUUUGGAUGGGCCCGCGUUGGCUUAGCUAGUUGGUAGGGUAAAAGCCUACCAAGGGGACGAUCAAUAGCUGGUCUGAGAGGAUGAUCAGCCACACUGGGACUGAGACACGGCCCAGACUCCUACGGGAGGCAGAAGUGGGGAAUAUUGGACAAUGGGCGAGAGCCUGAUCCAGCAAUGCCGCGUGAGUGAUGAAGGCCUUAGGGUUGUAAAGCUCUUUUACCCGGGAUGAUAAUGACAGUACCGGGAGAAUAAGCGCCGGCUAACUCC
rnacentral:rRNA from 1 species